AUGGUCGCUUGCGCUGCGCUCUCCUCCUUGCAGCCACCAAAUCACUUGGCGGUUUCAAUGGCUGCGUCUGCUCAAAAUGUUGAAGAAAUCAAAAAACGGCUUCAAAUAGCCGCUGAAAAUGUAAGCCUCGUCCCAUGAAUCACACCCGUCAAUAGAAAAGCUUUUGAAAAAUCGAUAAUUUCACAAUAAAACAAAAAAUCAUUUUAAUGAGGGUUAUUUUGCUAAUAAAUGGAAGCUGGGCUUUCCCAGCAUCUGUGUUUUCAGGUUGCGAGUAGAUAAUUUCAUGUAUUACUUUAAUUCUUGGUUUCCUGCUGAUCUGUUUUGUUAUUUUAUUAUUUAUAUAUAUAAAUAAAAUUUAUUUUUAUAAUAAUGCAUUUUCCAUUUUUAUUUUCAAUUCAAUACAAAAACAAACAAAUAAAGAAUUAUCAGUUUUUUGGGAAAUAAUCCUGAAGAUCUGAAACAGUUUUUCCCAUACCAUUCUUUUUUACGUUUUGAUUUCAAUGUAUUUCGCUUCAGGAUGAUCAGACGUUGUGCGAAUCACUGCUCAACGAAGUUCGGCCGUUGGUGACGAGUCGAGAAAUUUUAGAGGAAACUCGAAUUGGAUUCGUCGUCAAUCAGCUUCGGAGGCAGUACUUCAAAAAGUGGCCAGCUCUUUUGAGGAUAAGUAGAGAAGUUAUCAAAUCGUGGUCCGAAAUCGUGUGCGAUGAGGUUAAAAGGCCGCAAAGUGGAGCUUCUUCUCGAAAUACAACACCGAAUGUUCUUUCUCCGAGUGUCGCCAGCGAACGGUUCAUAUGCUCCACGUAGUCAAGUUUCGCCUGGCGAGUCGACUCCUGUUGCUGCCUCCGUCGUUGUGAACGGAAUGCACAAGUCAGCGUCAGUUGGUGGAGAUCUUCUGAAACAUGCAACAGCAUCACUUUCUACAAAACCAAUCACACCAAAGGAGAAUGGAAAACGGAAAGCCGUCGAUGAAGCUGCUGCUCCCUCAAUCAAGAGAACCAAAACGGCUGCUGCUGCACUUUCAGUAUCAAUUACUCCUGGAACUCCAACAACAAUGGCUCCACAAACGCCUACCAUGUCUGUUUCUGCUGCUAGAAAAGCUGUUCAGAGCACUAGUGAGCUCUUCGCUCAAAUGAGCCAGACACUUCCUGGGCACAUUGACAUCGGUACAGACAUUCGGGAGCACGAGGAACGUGUGAAAAGAGAGCUCAAAGAUGAAGAGCUGGCACACAGUCUUCAAUCGUCUGCUAGCUACGGAAACUUCGGUUCAGCAACAACAACUGAACGGAAAAAGCGGAAAUACGAGCGAAAAAUUCAGAAGGGCACUGCACCGGGCACUCCAGCAGCAGUGGCAUCCCCCUUGUUGCAGACGACAACGAUGGUCACGCCUCCGUCUUCAAAUAAUAUUCCUGAAGAACGUCUUCCUUCGCUGGUCAUCCGCCUUGGUAAAAACGGUCUCACUUCAGCUGCUUCAACUCCAGCAUUUGUUUCAUCAGAAGAAUCCGCAAAAAGGAAAUAUGAGAAGAGCAUUCGUUCAAUACCACGUUCAACGACUCCUCCACCUACAGCUAGAAUGCAGGAAAAAGAACGAGAGAAAGAAGAGAUGAAACGUGAGAAAGAGCGACAAGAAGCUAUCAGAAGAAGAGAGCAAGAAGAAGAAGAGGAAGAAGAAAUAGUCGAUGAUAAGCCUAAACCUGUUCUAAGUAAGCUGAAAGACUGGAAAUCAUUGAUUCCAUCGAUGGAAGAGCUCCGAAUUCGUGCUCAACUCGCUGAAAAAGAAACUAAAAAAGUACUUGAAGUUUCUGCCGUUAAAACGAAAAAGGAUCCGACGAAAGUGCAGCUGGUGAAGAAUUUCCGAAGACCAAUUUUGAUUCUUCCAUAUCUGGAAAAUCCAACGGGACCGGACUUUUUAUUACACAAAUAUCCCAACAGUCUACAAUACUACUCGGAAGACAAUUUUAGGUUUGGAGAGAAACGUCCCACUGCGUAAUC
rnacentral:misc_RNA from 1 species